UACAGAGGUCCCAAGCGUUGUUCGGAUUCAUUGGGCGUAAAGGGUGCGUAGGCGGCGCGGUAAGUCGGGUGUGAAAUCUCGGGGCUUAACUCCGAAACUGCAUUCGAUACUGCCGUGCUUGAGGACUGGAGAGGAGACUGGAAUUUACGGUGUAGCGGUGAAAUGCGUAGAUAUCGUAAGGAAGACCAGUGGCGAAGGCGGGUCUCUGGACAGUUCCUGACGCUGAGGCACGAAGGCCGGGGGAGCAAACGGG
rnacentral:rRNA from 1 species